CUUUGUGUAUCUUUGUCUCUUCACUAAACAUGGUGCCUCAAGUUCAGUGGAUAGGUUUACAUACAUUGUCCACAUGGACAAGUCUUUGAUGCCCAGAACCUUCAAUGACCAUAAAGAUUGGUACUUUUCAAUCACUAAUUCCCUUAAAUUUACAAAAUCCCCCUCAUCAGAGACAGACCACUGUUUUUCACCAGUCCAUUCAUUCGUUUACUCUUAUGAGAAUGUUGCUCAUGGUUUUGCUGCAGUUUUAUCUCCCAGUGAGCUCGAAACUCUUAGAAACUCUACAGGGUUUGUCUCUGCAUAUAGAGACAGAAUGGCAACAAUUGACACCACCCACACUUUUGAAUUCCUUUCUCUCAAUUCUACCACUGGUCUAUGGCCUGCUUCCAAUUUUGGCGAAGAUGUUAUAAUUGGAGUCAUCGAUACUGGGGUUUGGCCAGAAAGCCUUAGUUAUAAAGAUGAUGGUAUGACUCCUGUACCAUCAAGAUGGAAGGGAAUUUGUGAGGAAGGAGAAGAAUUCACUUCUUCUAUGUGUAAUUCAAAGCUAAUUGGGGCUAGAUAUUUCAAUAAAGGUGUUAAAGCUGCAGCUCCUGGGAUUAAAAUUAUAAUGAAUUCUCCUAGGGAUACUAGAGGCCAUGGUACUCACACUUCCUCAACUGCUGCUGGUAAUUAUGUUAAAGAUGCCACAUUCUUUGGCUAUGCUACUGGUACAGCUAGAGGUAUGGCCCCGCGAGCUAGAGUAGCUAUGUACAAGGUCUUAUGGGAAGAAGGCCGCUACGCCUCUGAUGUCCUUGCUGGCAUGGAUCAAGCAAUCGCUGAUGGCGUUGACGUGAUUUCUAUCUCGUCAGGCUUUGAUGAAGUGCCUUUGUAUGAGGAUCCUAUAGCAAUAGCUUCAUUUGCUGCAAUGGAAAAAGGUGUGGUGGUAUCAGCUUCUGCAGGAAAUGAAGGGCCACCUCUAGGAAAUCUGCAUAAUGGGAUUCCAUGGGUCUUGACUGUUACUGCUGGUACUAUUGAUCGUUCUUUUGCUGGAACAUUAACACUGGGUAAUGGCCAAAAAAUCACUGGAUGGACCAUGUUCCCAGCUAAUGCCUUCAUACAAAAUCAGCCACUACUGUACAACAAGACUUUUUCAGCAUGCAACUCAACUAAAUUGUUAUCUCAGGCCCCGUAUGCGAUAAUCUUGUGCGACGAUACUGGGUUUGUCUUUAAUCAAAUAAAUACUAUUGCAGCCUUGUCAAAUGUGCCUGGUGCUAUUUUCAUUUCAAACCAUACUGUGUUAUUCGAGUUAGGGGGUUUUUCUUGUCCCGGAGUUGUGAUUAAUCCUAAUGAUGCAAUAUCUGUUAUGAAAUAUGUUACAACUGAUAAGGAUCCUUCCGCUAGCAUGAAAUUCCAGCAAACCAUUGUAGGCACAAAGCCUGCUCCAGCUGCAGCCUAUUAUACUUCAAGAGGUCCUUCGCGGAGCUAUCCUGGAAUUCUAAAGCCAGAUGUCAUGGCGCCGGGUUCAUUAGUUUUAGCCUCUUGGAUUCCAAAUGACAAUUCUGCAAGAAUUGGACUGAAUAUUCCCUUGUCGAGCAAUUUCAAUAUGGUAUCUGGUACUUCAAUGGCUUGCCCUCAUGUUUCUGGUGUUGCUGCACUCCUAAAAGGUGCACAUCCAGAAUGGAGCCCAGCGGCUAUCCGAUCUGCCAUAGUUACCACUGCAAACCCAUUAGAUAAUACUCUGAAUCCAAUCAGGGACAACGGUGAAAAGUUUGCAUAUGCAUCUCCUUUAGCCAUGGGAGCUGGCCAAAUUGAUCCUCACAGAGCAUUGGACCCUGGUUUAAUUUAUGAUGCCACCCCACACGAUUAUGUGAAUAUCCUAUGCUCUAUGAAUUACACUAAAAAACAAAUUUUGACCAUCACAAGAUCAAAGAGAUACACUUGUUCAAACCCUUCCCCUGAUCUCAACUACCCAUCAUUCAUUGCUUUGUAUGAUAAUAAAACAGCAGCAGUAGCAGUCCAAAGAUUUCGAAGGACUUUAACUAAUGUGGGAGAUGGUGCUGCGACGUAUAAAGCUAAGAUAGUUGUAACGAAAGGUUCAAAAGUUACUGUUUCGCCUGAUUCUUUGGUUUUCGGGAAGAAAUAUGAUAAGCAGACCUAUACUCUUACAAUAAAGUACAGCAAAGACAAAGGAGGGAGAGUUUCAUUUGGUUCCAUUGUUUGGAUUGAGCAGAAUGGGGUACACACUGUCAGGAGUCCUAUCGCAGUCUCUCCUGCUGUGAAGUUGUGGUAAUAUGAAAGGAAAAAAAUUAUCUAAUUAUUAUAAUCAAAUAAUUUCAGUCUGCCUAAAUGCCAUUGCAGAACCUAAUAAUAAAUAUACUUUAUUAUUUUCAAAAUCUUCUUAUAAUUUAUUCCUUAUAAUUAAUUUUUCUUACAGAACACAUUAAAUUAACCUAUAUAUAUAUAUAUAUAUAUAUAUAACCUAAUUACAUUAAACAUAAACAUCUCAUAUUGAAUGUACUCCUAAAAAUGAUAAAUAGAAAACCAUAUUUGUCUCGACCAAACUGGCAUGACUUAUUAGUGCAUGCUUCACAGUCAGCAUUUGCCUGUACAUGAAUAAUCAAAUUAUUCUGUUUCUGUUUUUUAAAAGGAAAGUAAGAUUCAUUCCAAAAAAAAAAAAAAAAAAGAGAAGAAAAGUGAGAUUAGGAAAAGCGAAAGAGAGAAAAAUUUCACAAAUAUGGUGAUAAUAUUUCAACUACUUUGAUAGAAAAGGGGUUUUUUUUUAUUUAAAAAAAAAAAAAAAGAGAAGCAAAAAAAAAAAAAAAAGCAAUUCAUUGAUAACCAACAUAAUACAAGUACAUCAAAAUAUAAUAAAAAUCUUUUGUUCGGACAAAAUAAAUUAUUCUUUCAGUAGAAAUUGAUUUUUUUCUAAAAAAAAAUUGAGAUCAGGCAACACAAAUAAGUUUAAAACAAUUUAAAUUGUUAUUAUUAGCCUUAAUAUAAUUUGAGCUUUUGGCAUUUUUCAACAUAAUACCUACUAUUGAUAUAAUCAUUUAAUAAUUUCUUUUAAUGCUUCUUUUGAUUAAUGUUUAUUUUUAUUUUAUUUUAUUUAUUUAAUUAAGAUGGAUCUCAUGAAAAUCAUCGAGAUUGUACAUAUCAAGCCCUACCAUUUUCUUAGUAUAAUUCUCCAGCUUUGCAUAUUUUCUCUGCUUAUUGAUUUAGUAAUAUGCUUAUGCCAAUAUAAACAAAAAACAAACAAAUUUAAGCAUUUCAGACAGCCAGCCUAUAAAUUUAUGAUGAAAAUCUGAAAUGAAAUUUAGCCUUUACAUUUAGAAUCUAUGCCCUGUAAUUUUAAAGCAUAUACCUUAAUGGAAAUGAUACUAAAUACAAUCCUCCCUCAUCCCUAAUAGGUAAAGCUUCAAGAACCAGCUGUAAAAGAAGAGAGUGGGUUAAAUGGAAAACUUACAGACAAUGCCUGCUGAUUUUUCUGAUAAAUGGAAAUGAAGCUCAUGUUUUUUCUGGAAAAUUUCCUUGCAAUAAUGAAAUAGGGACAAUGGUAAGACCUGGUAAAAAAUUCUCCUGUUCUCUAAUUGUCCUGGACAGGUUGGAGGAGAUAUCAAGUCUGUGACCAAGGUUCUAAAACGAUAUAAAUAAUUAUAUACUUUCAAUUCAUUAUCAAUUAGUUUACACAAAAAGGAGAUAAGAAGUAAGUAUCCAAAGAAGAGAAUAUCCCCGUUUCACAUAACUUUGAUAAUGCCAACAUUGGAAUUAAACAAUGCCGGCCUUUGAUUUGUUGGCUUUUUUUUUUAAAAAAAAAAAAAAAAAAAAGAAUAAUAAUAAUUUUAAGUUCUAUAUAUAAUUGGAUGAAGAACCAAUACAAAAAGCAAAAGCAAAGUUUUUAAAGAUAGAGAGAAAAAAAAAUGAAAAUGGUUGCUCUUUUCUUGUUCUUCCUUGCAAGGCCCUUUUCCUUUACGACCUCAACCUCAGUAGACAAGGCAACAUAUAUUGUCCACAUGGACAAGUCUCUGAUGCCCAAAAGCUUCACCAGCCAACAAGAUUGGUAUUCCUCAACCAUUGAUUCCCUUAAAACCACAAAAUACUUCUCCUCAGACAAUGAUCAUAAUCACUCACCAUGGCUUAUUUACUCUUAUGACAAUGUUGCUCAUGGUUUUAGUGCAAUUUUAUCCCCUGAUGAGCUUGACACUCUUAAAAAAUCCACAGGUUUUGUCUCCGCUUAUAGAGACAGAACGGCAACAAUUGACACUACCCAUACUUUUGAAUUCCUUUCCCUCAAUUCUACAACUGGUCUAUGGCCUGCUUCCAAUUUUGGUGAAGAUGUUAUAGUUUGAGUCAUUGAUACUGGGGUUUGGCCUGAAAGUCUGAGUUACAAUGAUGACGGAAUGAGUCCUGUACCAUCAAGAUGGAAGGGAAUUUGUGAGGAAGGAGAAGAAUUUAAUUCUUCUAUGUGUAAUUUAAAGCUAAUUGGAGCUAGAUACUUCAACAAAGGUGUUAUGGCUGCAAAUCCUGGGAUUAAAGUUAGAAUGAAUUCUCCUAGGGAUAUUGAAGGCCAUGGUACUCACACUUCUUCAACUGCUGCUGGUAAUUAUGUUAAAGAUGCUACAUUCUUUGGCUAUGCUACUGGUACAGCUAGAGGUAUGGCCCCGCGAGCUAGAGUAGCUAUAUACAAGGUCAUAUGGGAAGAAGGCCGCUACGCCUCUGAUGUUCUUGCUGGCAUGGAUCAAGCAAUAGCGGAUGGCGUUGACGUGAUUUCUAUCUCAUUAGGCUUUGAUGAAGUGCCUUUGCAUGAAGAUCCUGUAGCAAUAGCUUCAUUUGCUGCAAUGGAAAAGGGCUGGCAUAGUAGGCCUUUUUAGUUUAAACAUCUGUGCUUCUUUUAAUUGCUUUGUCUAAUCUUAUCACUUAUUCUUUACGUGCCCUGCUUUCUUAUGUCUCUUAUUACAAGUUACAUCUUGAGGGCCCAAAGCAAGCUGUGUUGUCAUCUGCUAAUAUACGCAUGAUUUUGAGUGGCUGCUGACAUAUAUCAGUCCAAUUUCAUGGUCAGCAUUGGACUUUGUCAACCUUUUAUCUUUCCUCACCAUAAAUAUCCAAGAAAAGGUCCUCUCAAUCCAAAAUAUGUAACUGUACAUGUUGGUGAUCCAUGUCUGCUUCCGGCUGUACCCUUUGGUAUCUGCCUUGUGAUACUGAUCCAAGUCUAUCAGAUAAAACUACAUUAUUUAAAAUGACCCAAGUGCGUGUUUAUUUGUUUUCAGUUUUCAUGGCUGAAGGUGUUCCCUUUGCAAGAAGUUUAUACAGUGUAAGCAUGUUGUGAAGUAUUUUGCACAGACCAAUUAAUCAUAAAAUUUGCAGCUACUAUUCGUCAUUCUUAAACAAUACUAUUUCGUUACUAGAACUAGGUAUCUUGAAUUUGAGGGCCACUGAUGACAUUGCCUAAAGUUUGAAAUUCACAGCUAGCUUUUGUUUGUAUAUAGCUAUUAAACACUGAUCAUGUGAUGAAAGAGGUCGCAAGGUUAAGCUUAUCCAUGCAUGAAAGCAACGUUAAAGGGCCAAAAUUCUUUUCUUUUUCAGAGCUAACUGUUUGUUCUUAUUAUAUUCAAGCAAGUGGCAGAUGAAUAAUAAUAAAGGGCCAAUUUAUACAGCUAGUAGUUGUUGCUUCUUUAUGUUUUCUUUUCUUCAGUUGCUUUCGCUUUGUUUAUAUAUAAUAAAAGCAGAUGAAGGAACUUACUCAAGCACAGAGUAAACCAUUCCUUUUCUGAAGAAAUAUGAUAAAAUUUAAUGAAAUUCCCUCUUCAAUUCUAAUCUUCUUUGUGUAUCUUUGUCUCUUCACUAAACAUGGUGCCUCAAGUUCAGUGGAUAGGUUUACAUACAUUGUCCACAUGGACAAGUCUUUGAUGCCCAGAACCUUCAAUGACCAUAAAGAUUGGUACUUUUCGAUCACUAAUUCCCUUAAAUUUACAAAACUCUCCUCAUCAGAGACAGCCCACCGUUCUUCACCAGUCCAUCCAUUUGUUUACUCUUAUGAGAAUGUUGCUCAUGGUUUUGCUGCAGUUUUAUCUCCCAGUGAGCUCGAAACUCUUAGAAACUCUACAGGGUU
rnacentral:lncRNA from 1 species